CUUACAUGACUUAAUACAGGACAUCAACACGAUACUGGCUUCUUUGGGGAUUGGGAUUGGACAUUUGGGCUAUGGUUGAAUUUGCUAAUUAAGAAAAUGUUGUACUUUUUGCUAUUAGCUGUAUUUGUUAUUAUGACCAUUUUUCUAACCUUCAAGUUCUUCUCAUGUCUUCUAACCUCUCUAUGUAAAAACAAAUCUACUGUUGGUCGUACCUUAACUUACCUUCCAGCUCCGACUUCGGAAGGUUUUUACGAUGUUACCUCACUGUCAGAAUUAAAAGUUGAUUCAGCACGCAUAACUGUGUUACACCUAGGACUAAGGAUAACGUAUAACCGGACCUUAGAAUGGACGGACUUAACAUAUCCAAG